rnacentral:rRNA from 1 species
UGGGGAAUAUUGCACAAUGGGGGAAACCCUGAUGCAGCAACGCCGCGUGAGUGAUGAAGGCCUUCGGGUUGUAAAGCUCUGUCUUCAGGGACGAUAAUGACGGUACCUGAGGAGGAAGCCACGGCUAACUACGUGCCAGCAGCCGCGGUAAUACGUAGGUGGCAAGCGUUGUCCGGAUUUACUGGGCGUAAAGGGAGCGUAGGCGGAUACUUAAGUGGGAUGUGAAAUACCUGGGCUUAACUUGGGUGCUGCAUUCCAAACUGGGUGUCUAGAGUGUUGGAGAGGAAAGUGGAAUUCCUAGUGUAGCGGUGAAAUGCGUAGAGAUUAGGAAGAACACCAGUGGCGAAGGCGACUUUCUGGACAAUAACUGACGCUGAGGCUCGAAAGCGUGGGGAGCAAACA